CUACGUGCCAGCAGCCGCGGUAAUACGGAAGGUCCGGGCGUUAUCCGGAUUUAUUGGGUUUAAAGGGAGCGUAGGCCGCGCCUUAAGCGUGUUGUGAAAUUCGGGUGCUCAACAUCCGGCUUGCAGCGCGAACUGGGGCGCUUGAGUGCGCUGAAAGUAGGCGGAAUUCGUGGUGUAGCGGUGAAAUGCUUAGAUAUCACGAGGAACUCCGAUUGCGAAGGCAGCCUACUGUAGCGCUACUGACGCUGAUGCUCGAAAGCGUGGGUAUCGAACAGGAUUAGAUACCCUGGUAGUCCACGCGGUAAACGAUGGAUGCUCGUUGUCGGCCCUUCGGGUCGGUGACCAAGCGAAAGCGUUAAGCAUCCCACCUGGGGAGUACGCCGGCAACGGUGAAACUCAAAGGAAUUGACGGGGGCCCGCACAAGCGGAGGAACAUGUGGUUUAAUUCGAUGAUACGCGAGGAACCUUACCCGGGCUUGA
rnacentral:rRNA from 1 species